UACGUAGGGGGCAAGCGUUGUCCGGAAUCAUUGGGCGUAAAGCGCGUGUAGGCGGUUCGGUAAGUCGGCUGUGAAAGUCCAGGGCUCAACCCUGGGAUGCCGGUCGAUACUGCCGGACUAGAGUUCGGAAGAGGCGAGUGGAAUUCCCGGUGUAGCGGUGAAAUGCGCAGAUAUCGGGAGGAACACCAAUGGCGAAGGCAGCUCGCUGGGACGUUACUGACGCUCAGGCACGAAAGCGUGGGGAGCAAACAGG
rnacentral:rRNA from 1 species